rnacentral:rRNA from 1 species
AGAGUUUGAUCCUGGCUCAGAACGAACGCUGGCGGCGUGCUUAACACAUGCAAGUCGAACGCGAAAGUUUUCUUUCGAGAAAGCGAGUAGAGUGGCGCACGGGUGAGUAACGCGUAAAUAAUCUACCCCUGCAUUCGGAAUAACCCACCGAAAGGUGUGCUAAUACCGGAUACGUUCUUUUAGUCGCGAGAUUAAGAGAAGAAAGGUGGCCUCUGAUAUAAGCUACUGUGCGGGGAGGAGUUUGCGUACCAUUAGCUAGUUGGUAGGGUAAUGGCCUACCAAGGCAACGAUGGUUAGCGGGUCUGAGAGGAUGAUCCGCCACACUGGAACUGGAACACGGACCAGACUCCUACGGGAGGCAGCAGUGAGGAAUAUUGCGCAAUGGGGGCAACCCUGACGCAGCGACGCCGCGUGGAUGAUGAAGGCCUUCGGGUCGUAAAAUCCUGUCAGAUGGAAAGAAAUGUAUACGUAUUAAUAGUAUGUAUGCUUGACGGUACCAUCAAAGGAAGCACCGGCUAACUCCGUGCCAGCAGCCGCGGUAAUACGGAGGGUGCAAGCGUUGUUCGGAAUUACUGGGCGUAAAGCGCGCGUAGGUGGUCUGUUAUGUCAGAUGUGAAAGUCCACGGCUCAACCGUGGAAGUGCAUUUGAAACUGGCAGACUUGAGUACUGGAGGGGGUAGUGGAAUUCCCGGUGUAGAGGUGAAAUUCGUAGAUAUCGGGAGGAAUACCGGUGGCGAAGGCGACUACCUGGCCAGAUACUGACACUGAGGUGCGAAAGCGUGGGGAGCAAACAGGAUUAGAUACCCUGGUAGUCCACGCCGUA